rnacentral:lncRNA from 1 species
GCCAAACUGAAGAAACCCAGAGCCUGAUGCUAUGGAACAAAGUCACAGCCGGCGUGGUGUGGAAUUGCCACACAGAAGCAAAACAACCAGGCUUGCCAGACCAGCUCCCAGGAGUCAGCAGCUCAUAGCAACUUGCUUCUUUGGGGAAUUAUUCAAAAAAAGGGGUUGGAUUAGAGGAACCUCGUUAAGAACUGACGCUCUGCUGUCAAGCCUCCUAAGGAGGAAGUCACCAGCCACCCAGGUGUUGCCCCCACCCCCUGCCUCCUCCCUCUGGUGAAAAGUCACACUAAUGACAAACUCUACAUGCCGCCUGACGUUUGAUAACGAAUAACGGGCUUUGACCCCAGGACAUCCUCCCCUCCCGAGGGCUUCGGGUAAGGAAAAGGGCCAAAUGGAGAA